GGCUUAAGAAACAUAGCGUUAAAGUAUCGAGUUACUUGUAGGUAUACAUGGUAUGCAAACAUGUUUGGUUCAUGCGGUAACUGCGGUAAUUAGUAACAUGCUAGAACUAGAUAGGUUUUUCCAUGGAAGAGGUACAAUUUUAAUGCAUAUGCUAGCAACCUGGGCUCAUGCUAUGGAGACAGGCAUAGUACAGGUAAUGAUAGAGACCUCGUUUAGUGUGCAUUAGCAUGUAGGUAGGUUUGCUAGAGAAGAGUAAGCUUAUGGAAGUGUAUACUUAGUGUAUUUAGGUAUAUGCUUGAGUCACACUAGUUAAGCCCUGUGUACAUUAAGGUUCCGUUGGCAUUAACUUUACUCGGCUGGCGUUAGUAACUCAGUUGCUAUAACAUGGGUAGAACAUGGAGC